UGUGGUAGUGAGUGAGUUCUCACGAGAUCUGAUGGUUUUGUUUGUGUCGGAAAGUUCCUCCUUCACUCUUCUCUCUCCUGCCACCUUGAGGAGAACAUGCCUACUUCCCCGUCUGCCAUGAUUCUGUUUCCUGAGGCUUCCCCCAACCAUGCAAAACUAUUACGAAGAAGUCACUAAAUUCAGCCCUGAUACAAAGGGAGAAAAUACAGAAAUCAUCAUUCCUUGAGCAGAGUAUCAAAGAAGUUGUAGACUCUUCCCGUAUCCCUCCACUGUCCACUUCAGGAGAAUCCUUCCUAAGCUGCAAGAUCUCAAACUGAAUAUACAAAAGGACAGUCUAUGGAUGUCAAUCCUGAGAUAACAGAGAAGCUAAAGUUAUCUGAAGCAAAAUGUAAAACAAUCAUGAUAAAACCGAUGAAGUGAGUAAUUAUGAACAGAUUUGAAAUAACUGCAAAACUAGCCCCAGCAAAAAGAAAACAUGAAGGUGAAACAAGUGGAAAUUUUGAAACUGAAACAUACAAUAAUCAAAAUUUUAAAAACUCCAGGAAUGGACUCAACAGCAGAAUAAACAGGGCAAAAAAAAUCAGUCAACUUGAAAAUGGAGUAACAGAAAUUACCCAACUUGAAUGACAUAGAAAAAUAGACUAAAUAAAUGAAUGAACAGACCAUCAGGGUACUGUGAGAAUCCAACAAAAGACCUUACAUUCAGGCCAUAAAAUUCCAUGCCUUAGUAUUUCAUUCCAUUUUGGAUAUCUUUUUAUACUCUAACACCAAGAGCAUAUUGAAUUAGAUUAGCCAAAGUCUUGAAACUCCUGUGAAAUAUUUUGAAAUAGCCUGUUUCUAAACCUAAAAGUUUGGCAUAUAAAAAAAGUUACUUUAGGUUUUCACUUUGCCAAAACACACAUUUUUGUAUUCUGAUCCAAGAACUCCCCCUGAGCCCAACAAGUCUAUCUUGGUAAAAAUAAUUUAGUUCAAUUCAGUGCAACAGAUAUUUAUUAAGUACCCACAAAGGGCCAGGUUCUGAUCCACUCUAUUUCCACGUGUUGUUCUUCUUUCCUAGGAUGGCCUUUUCUGGUCCGCCUGGUAAACUCCUAUUCUUCCUUCAGAUUCAGCCCAAAUACAGUCUUCAGUAAUGUGAGUUCCUUCAGCUUGACAUAUAGUUUACCUGUCAAUAAGUUUGUAUGGUACUCAACACAUCAUGCACUGAUUUUUGCCCUUGUGACUAAACUGUGUAUUCCUGGAGGUUAGGACACUGUCUUUUCAUCCUUGUUACUCCAAUUGCACUGAAAUCUCCUUUAUCACGAAAUGUGUUUGGUAAUUUCCUGUUGCAUAAAUAAAUGAAUUCAUGUAUUCAGCUAUGCUUCUGAUAUUUUUAAAUACCUACUGCCUACUAGGCAGAGUAAUGGGCCUAGGUAUAUGUGGUGAAUGAAUGAUGUUACUCCUUGUACUGAAGACUGCAAACUGUAGCAGAGAUGACAUGCCAUUGGAAUACAGAAUUAACUGUAAUAGAAAAGUUGUUGAAAGGUUUUAAGAAUAAGAAUGAUCUUGUUCUUAUUCUAAUUUAUAUCCAAACUUAAAGUAUCCUUUAGAAACAUGUUAGGUUUUAAGUAAUAAAGAACAGUGCCUUUAACACAUAAGAAUUCAAUUUUCCCUUAUCUUAAGAAUUACAAAGAGAGGAAGUUCAGAGCUAUUGCAUAUGUUCAACAAAGUUUACAAAUACCACUGUCCUUCAGUCUCCUGUUGUUCCAACAUGUGACUUUCAUCUUCAUGCUUACAUGAUCACUGCCACAUAUUUCACCUUAUAUUUGUUAUACAGACAAGAAGAUGAAAUCAAAAUAAGGGAGCAUAAAAGGCAAAAAAACUGAAGAGAAAUUUCCUUACAAUAUUUUCUAACACAGCUACUCAUUGUAUUUCAAUGGCUAGAACAGGGUCACAAGUCAACCCUGAGAUACAAAUAUGUCUGGAAAGAUAUUUAGGCUUAAUCUGCAAUAACAGAGGAAGAAAAUGAAAAAAAGGGUAAUAAAUGACUUUUGGGUAAAUAUUCCACUUUUAAAAAAUUUAAUUGUCUAUCAGUUGAAAAUGGUAGUGACUAAUGGGCAAAGAAAUGAUCAAUAUAUUAAAAUCAAAAUACACAGUUAUUUUAUUAACUAUGGAAAGAAAAAAAUUGUUCAUGUCUCUGAUAGUUAUUUUGAAAAGUACUUGAAAGGUACUUUUCAAAAAAUAUAUUGUUAAGAUAUGGCCUUAAAACCACCAGAAACUUUUAUUUCAAUUAUUUUAAACAAAUAAGAAAAAAGUUUCUAAGUUAUUUAUGCUAUAAUAUGAAAGUUCAUGAAGAUGAAGAUUUUUGUAAUGAAAUUAUGUAAUUUUAUAAUAGUUCUGAACCCUUUUUUCAAGUGCUCUUUCUCUCUAUAAUAAAGUACACUGAAAAUGAA